CUACGGGGUGCAGCAGUGAGGAAUAUUGCACAAUGGGGGGAACCCUGAUGCAGCAACGCCGCGUGGAGGAUGACGCAUUUCGGUGUGUAAACUCCUUUUAUAUGUCAAGAAAAUGACGGUAGCAUAUGAAUAAGCACCGGCUAACUCUGUGCCAGCAGCCGCGGUAAUACGGAGGGUGCAAGCGUUACUCGGAAUCACUGGGCGUAAAGGACGCGUAGGCGGGUUGGAAAGUCAGGUGUGAAAUCCUACAGCUUAACUGUAGAACUGCACUUGAAACUUCUAAUCUAGAGUAUGGGAGGGGGAGAUGAAAUUAGUGGUGUAGGGGUAAAAUCCGUAGAUAUCACUAGGAAUACCUAAAGCGAAGGCGAUCUCCUGGAGCAUUACUGACGCUAAGGCGUGAAAGCGUGGGGAGCAAACAGGAUUAGAUACCCGAGUAGUC
rnacentral:rRNA from 1 species